rnacentral:rRNA from 1 species
CUACGGGCCGCAGCGGUGGGGAAUAUUGGACAAUGGGGGAAACCCUGAUCCAGCAAUGCCGCGUGUGUGAAGAAGGCCUGCGGGUUGUAAAGCACUUUCGGUUGGGAGGACUGCUUCUAGCACUAAUAUUGUUGGAAGUUGACGUUACCUUCAGAAGAAGCACCGGCUAGCUGCGUGCCAGCGGCCGCGGUAAUACGGAGGGUGCAAGCGUUAAUCGGAAUUACUGGGCGUAAAGCGCGCGUAGGCGGCUAGAUCAGUCGGGUGUGAAAGCCCCGGGCUUAACCUGGGAACUGCAUCCGAUACUGUCUAGCUUGAGUACAGGAGAGGAGAGUGGAAUUCCACAUGUAGCGGUGAAAUGCGUAGAUAUGUGGAGGAACACCAAUGGCGAAGGCAGCUCUCUGGCCUGAUACUGACGCUGAGGUGCGAAAGCGUGGGGAGCAAACAGGAUUAGAUACCCCCGUAGUC